AGAUACACUUCCACAUGAAGCAGGAACUCGAACCCAGGUUAUAUGCAUAGAAAGGCACAUACUCCAUCAGAUCAAAGAUCGCCCAUCCCCGAUGGUGUUUAAUGUGUGGAGGCCAGCCAUCUGCCUGGAGAAACAUAAACAGCAGGACCCAUUCACACCCUGCCAGCAGUUCCUAAGCUACCUUCUGCAGACCUCUCCACAAAGCAAAAACAUUGUCUGGACCAUGAGUUUCAGGAAAUGCUGGCAAAAAAAAAAAAAAAAAAAAAAAGUUUAGAGGAAAUGCAGUGUCAAGCCUGUAUGUUCCAGGGAAAAGCAGCACAGUGACAAACUGAUUUUUUGAGCAAGUGUAAGAAGCCUUAGCCAAAAACCAGUUUGCAGGAAAUGGUCUGCAGGGGGGCUUCAUAAACACCAGCUAAAAACCAAA